AGAGGAGGAGGAGGGGUAGGAGGAGGGGGAGGGAGAGGGGGGAGGGAGUGGAGGAUCUGUUUCUGGGACGGCCAAGGCAGCGAAAUGCUGCAGUGAAGCCACACAGCUGAGCCGGUCUGAACAUAGCUACUGAGCGACACUGAGCUCUCAGCCGGCUUCCUUCCUCCUCUCUCUCUCUCUCUCCAUACCUUCAUCUUCCCACUUCUUUCACCUCCCACUCUGAUUAACCUUCCUCUCACCCCUCACUUCGACCUACUCUAUCCCCCCUCCCCCUUCCUCUCCCUAUCUCGCUUUCUCUCUUUGCACCAGCCGGUGAGUGAGCAGAUUUCAGAAAGCAUCCUGAGUGGAGGCGGGCCUCUCUCUACCUCUCCUUUUCAUCUGUCCUUCCUCUUUUUCUACACCUUUUCUUCAUCCUUUUUGUUGCAGAAUGCUUAUAACUCUAUCUCUGCUUUUUCUUCUUUGCGUCCCUUCCCACUGUUUUUCCUGUCUGUUUUGUCCUCGCGGUUUGUGAUCCUGUUUUUAUGUCUGUCCGUCCGUCAGUCUGUCAGUCGGUGGGGAACAGGGACCAUCAAAAAGGACUAGCCUAAACUCUCCCGCCUCCAGAUCUCAAUCCAAUAAGGCAUCUGUGGGAUGGCAUGGACGAAGCUUUUCAGAGUUGAAAUCCGCUGAGGACCAACUUGACAAAACCACAGACAUCCUUUGAAGGGUCAGUCGAAGAGGUCGCGGCGUGAGGUGCUACUGAGGUGCUACUGAGGUGCUACUGAGGUGCUACAGGCUGCAGCUGGACCAGAUUACAUAAGGAUGAGGAAGCCUGACUCAGAGGAACCAGGCUGCCGUGCAGACAAACAAACAAUUAAGCAGAGACCAUCCCCAACCUCCCUCCUUUAAUCCAUUCCUGCAUCCAUCCUUCCUGGGUGGGAGGCAGAAGGAGAGGAUACUGGGAAAUAAAAGAAGCAAACACUAACUGGUAGUAGCAGGUUUCACCUUACCAUCCGUCUUUUCAUUUACACUUACUGCAGGCAAAGAGGGUGUGAUGUAGGGAGGUAAAGAGAGAGAGGGGCUGGAGGGAAACAGGGUAUAUAAGAGAAGAAUCAAUAAUUCCUCAGAGCAGACGGAUAAUCUCAUUUUUCCAGAAAGAAAUGUGUGAUGUUGUUGUAGAAGAAAGAGGAGAGGAGAAUUAGAGAAAAUGAGGAGUGAGAGAAGGAGGAUGUUAUGCUAAGACAGGAAGAGAGGGAAAGUAAGAGGCACUUAUAGAAAAGUGGUUUGAAAGCAUUACACCAUUAGGAGUAGAAAGGAGGCAGAGCAAGACGGUGGGCUGAUUGCCAGUCUGUGGUUAGCAUAACAACACUGCUGACUAUGAUAAGAAAAAACUUCCAAAUUCACUGUCGAAGUAGAUGCUUUCCAUAUCAAGCCAUAAACAUAGUCCACUAGGCCUAUAGACUCGGUCAGACAGUAGCUUAAACAUGCAUUCGGUACAUUUACAUGCUUAAAGGAAUAGUUUGUGUGUUUUGAAGUGGGGUUAUACAGUAUGAGGUACUUAUCCAUGGUAGGUGUAUUACUGACAGAAGAUGUCG